rnacentral:rRNA from 1 species
GAUGAACGCUGGCGGCGUGCCUAAUACAUGCAAGUCGAGCGAACAGACGAGGAGCUUGCUCCUCUGACGUUAGCGGCGGACGGGUGAGUAACACGUGGAUAACCUACCUAUAAGACUGGGAUAAAUUCGGGAAACCGGAGCUAAUACCGGAUAAUAUAUUGAACCGCAUGGUUCAAUAGUGAAAUACGGUUUUGCUGUCACUUAUAGAUGGAUCCGCGCCGCAUUAGCUAGUUGGUAAGGUAACGGCUUACCAAGGCAACGAUGCGUAGCCGACCUGAGAGGGUGAUCGGCCACACUGGAACUGGAACACGGUCAAGACUCCUACGGGAGGCAGCAGUAGGGAAUCUUCCGCAAUGGGCGUAAGCCUGACGGAGCAACGCCGCGUGAGUGAUGAAGGUCUUCGGAUCGUAAAACUCUGUUAUUAGGGAAGAACAAAUGUGUAAGUAACUAUGCACGUCUUGACGGUACCUAAUCAGAAAGCCACGGCUAACUACGUG